CAAGCAAAUGCACUGCUUUCACGUAAAUGAUAUAAUCACUUUUCUUUAACAUUUUCUUGACCUGUGGCUUGAUAAUGUUUAGUUAAUAACUGACAAUUACACUCUCCUAGCAUAAUGUAAAAAUAUCAGAGACAAAUAAUUUUAUCUCCCUAUUAAAUACUUGCACUUAGUCAAGUUAGAAUGCACCUGUGAACAUUAAGAGAUGGGCUUAAUCUCUGACAACACUAUUAAUUUCUCUUGCCACAGCAAUGCUAUUUAGAAGCUGGUUAGGUAUAAAUAUUAUAAUAAUAGUUUGGGUUCUCCCUUGAUAAGGAAUAAAAGACUUGAUUCUGAGAAUGGUCAGAUUUCUUGAAAUUAGUUUAAAUCAGCUGAUCUUUGAUGGGGUAAUUAAUGGUUUUUGAGAAGUGGGCCAGGUAUCAUCUUCACAAAGACGUUUUAGAGCAGAAUUUCUUUAAGUUCUUAAAUAUCAUCCUUUGUCCUUCCAUAUGACUCUAGAAUGAUUAUUUUUUAGUACUACCAUUUGUGAUUGCCACAACUUUGAGUCCAAGCUAGAGAUCAUAAAUCAGUUAAAAUAUUUUUUUAGCCUUAGAUGUAACAUUAUAAUUCAAUCCUAUAAUUAAACUGUUUUUAGUGUUUUACUGAAAAUCGGAGUAAAUUGUAAAUUUUUUUCUUCAGUAAUCCAUUUUAUAGUUAAUCAUACCAAAUUUGAAUCGAUGACUCAAAGUCCAGGUAGAGUUGAAGAUGGUGUAUGUCUAGAAUUCUAGUAGUGAGAAACUGGUUGAAAUUGAAGAAAACAAGACAUUGCCAAAUAUUAUGAGCUAGAAUAUAAUAAACUUCAAGGGAAUGGUUACUCAGGAACUAGUUAAAAGAGCAAGCCUAAGGCCCACUUCCCCCCCCCCUUUCACUAUGUUUCAGGUAUUUUAUUGGAAAACGUUAGAAUAAAGACCUGAGAAAUUUAGCAAAUGCUAUUGACUGUGAAAUUUGCUUUCUAUCUUUUGAUGAUUUUUAGUUUGGUUUUUACAAUCAAGCCUAGUGCUUGUAAUUAAGAUAUAUAUUAACCUGAAAUGCAUAUUCUCAGUCACAGGUCCUUAUUGUCAUUAUUUCUAAGUAUCUAACUUCAUUGGAAAUGAGCAGACUUUUGCAUAUGGUCUCUUACCUCAGGGAAGAUCACUUGCUAGCAAGUCAUAUACUACUAAUGACAGGUUUUUCAGAAUUGUACUGACACCACGUUAGCUACUAAAUGCAAAAUUUAUAACAGUAUUAUUUUAUGUAGUUACCUACUUAUACUGGCUGCUAGUGAACGUUUCUUUAAAAAUUUAGACCUCACUAAUAACUAACCUUUAGGUAUGAAAUAAACUUGUAACUUCUGUCUUUAAUUAUGCUUUGGUCAGUAUAGUGACAAUAUCAUAAAAUGUUUAUUUCAGAAUAUCAAUAGUUUUGUCUUCAUUUUUCAACAGGAAUUUUAAUUGGCCCCUACUUAAAAUACUGCAGAGCAGAUUUUGAGAGGUAUCAUCAUUCUCAAAAGAGGGUUUCCAUAUUAAGAUUUUCAUAAAAGCCUUGCAAAAUCUGAUUAAACUCCACUCAUCUUAAUGUGAAUUUAAAAUGACCUUUUCUAACAGUGGUUGUGAGAUGCAUACUCUUAAGUUGGGUAGCCAUAUCUCACAUUUCAAGGUUAUCAUAUAAUUUUAAAAAAUUGUCCAACCUCAAGGCUCUUCACAAUUAAUACAAUUAAUAUAAGAACUUAGUUUUUCAAACCACAACUAUUCACUUGAAAACAUACCAUAGUAGAAUGUUUACUUAAGAAAUAAAAUAACAAAAGAGAGCUAUGUCACCAAUGCAAGAUUUAUACUUAAUUGUAAAGUUCUGCCAUUCUUAAUACUUCUUGGAGAUGCUAAGUGUUUCAAUUCAUAUUUAAUGAUGCUUAAAUCGUGGGAAUUUUAACAUUUGUUCUAAAUAGCAGAAAUUGUAAAAAUUGUGAAUUAUUGGAGAAAAUGCCAUUACUUGUAUAUCUGACAUUUAAUUUUUUUAAUUAUGGAGUCUACAUGCUUUUGUAGUAUAAUAUUAAUACAAUGAUUAUUCUCUUGUAAAAGAAAACUAGUAAAAGAAAAACCGUUUUAGUUGAUGUUAUCUGCUUGUGAGUAUCAAUUACUUAGUAUUUAAAAUUCAAGGUACUGCAUGCGUUUCUUUAGCAUGCACAGGUCCCUUCCUGAGCCUUUAAUGCCUGAGGUAGAGGAAAAGACUGAAAAGGUUAUCAAUAUUUUCAAGUUUAUUUAACUUUAAGAAUUAGUGCCGGAGAGUCUACUUUUUGGAGGGAAAUGCUAUUUAGAAUAUGUAAAAAUAAGUGGUAAUAGUGUAAAUAUUUAGAAGAAAUUAAAUGGCAAGUGCUUUAAGUGCUCAAUAAAAUAGUAUAGAUGUUAUAUCAUCCCUAAGGCACUGGCUGUUACCCAUUAUUUUCUGACUUUGUGAUUGCUGUAUACAUUACAUUUGAGUAAUAAAUAAUUGGUAAUAGCAUAUUAUAACUAUUUAGUGUUCUACAGCAAACCUCACUGUACAGUAUUUGAAGUUCUCUUUUAUAUCAGUAAUAAAACUAAGUUAACAUACUGAUUUUCCCCUCCUCUUCUACACGUUAGCUUUUUAAAAUAAUUUUUCAUUCUUUAGUUUCCCGAAAUUAUCCCUUAAUAUUAUAAUGCAUGAAAAUAUAGUUCAGUUUUAUAAAGGAAUUCUUAGGGUAAUAAAGUUUUUUUUUUAACUUCUGUAAGUAGGAUAUCUUAUGGGGGCAGUAAUUUCUCCGUUUAAUGCAGAUUUCAAUGCAAAUGAAAGUGACCUAAUUAAAAGAAAGUAAGCAAAAUUUCUUUAGACAUAUUACCUUGUUAGGUCAUUUAAUGCUUACUGAAUAUUUAAAGACUUUCUAAUAAAGAGAGAACUUGGUUUUGUGCUGGUUUUUAAAAAACACUGGUUAGAGAUAAUGAGGAAAUGAAGGAAAAUACAGAAAAUAGUACUAAAUUACAUUUAUAUAGCUUAGCAAUCAACAUGACAUUUACUUUCUCGUAUGUAUGCUUAAUAUCCAUUUUGUUAGAGUAGACUGUUUCACUGAGUAGUUAGAGCAUAGCCUCAGACUCCAGACUUCCUAGAUCUGAGUCCUGGCACACUGCCUACCGUGUGACCUCUCUGUGCUUCAGUUCCUCUCUGGGAGACUGAUAAAGACAUCUACUCCAGGGUGGUUGUGAGGAUUAAAUGACUUAGUACAUGCCAGAUGAUUAGAACAGUGCCUGACAUAUAGUAAGCUCUCAAAUUUUUGCUGUUAUUUAUAAAUUGAAGCUAUUCAGUAGUUCAGUUGCCACUUAAAUGGCAUAAAUUCUCAUAUAUAGGGCACCCAUUAUUUAAAUAAUUUGUUUCAUUACGUUAAAACUUGUAUUGUGGUAUAUAGUUAAUGGGCUAAAAACUGAAUGGUUGUAUGCUCAAAUUUUCAUGCAAGAACUUUAUGACCACAUGCAACACUGAACAUCUGUCAUGUUCACAUCACAGCCUGUGCUCUGUGACGAACUGUUCUGUGACCUAAGGCAAGUCAUGGAGCCUUUCAAGGUCUCCAUUUCUGCUAUAACCUUGUGGUUCUAUGGUUGUUCCCCUCUGGUUCUGCUGACCAUGUCAUCAUGGUCUCACCUGCUGACAGCACAGUGCUGAUGGGACGAGUGACAUGGGCGUGAGCCCAAGUAAACUCAAGAUAAUUAGCUUUGCUUUAUGCUUUGGGUACACUUGUCCCAAACUCGGACUUGAGGUCUUGUACAUGCAUGCCACUGGUCACAUACCAUAUAGUUUGGAGCUCUUGAACACUCUUCAGUAAAUAAAAUAGAUAAACAUCCUACGUAUGACAGUUCAGCAUGGAUUUUAUUUUUAUUGACUGGCUUUUCAGACCCCAGUAACUGCAAUUCUGACUGCAUAGUUGAUUGUUUCUAAUCAUUAAACAUGUAUAUAGAAAAA
rnacentral:lncRNA from 1 species